rnacentral:rRNA from 1 species
CUUACGGGUGGCUGCAGUGGGGAAUAUUGGGCAAUGGGCGAAAGCCUGACCCAGCAACGCCGCGUGAUUGAAGAAGGUCUUCGGAUUGUAAAGAUCUGUCCUAUGGGAAGAAACAAAUGACGGUACCAUAGGAGGAAGCCCCGGCUAACUACGUGCCAGCAGCCGCGGUAAUACGUAGGGGGCGAGCGUUGUCCGGAAUUACUGGGCGUAAAGGGUGCGUAGGCGGUUUUUUAAGUCAGAUGUGAAAUACCCGGGCUUAACCUGGGGGGUGCAUCUGAUACUGGGGAACUUGAGUGCAGGAGAGGAAAGUGGAAUUCCUAGUGUAGCGGUGAAAUGCGUAGAUAUUAGGAGGAACACCAGUGGCGAAGGCGACUUUCUGGACUGUAACUGACGCUGAGGCACGAAAGCGUGGGGAGCAAACAGGAUUAGAUACCCUGGUAGUC